GAAAGGGAAGGGGAUUGUAGUUACGACGUAAGGAACAUAUCCGAUAUCAUUUGUGAAACGGUUAUUCCAUAACAGUCAACCAACUCGUGAUGGCGUCCGUAAAAUUUACGAAGGGAUGAUUUCAACUUCACCAUUUGGAACUCUUGGUUUAAUAGCUUCCUUGUGAGCAGUAACCCUCUAUCAAGAAAAUCAUGAUAGGAAAUGCAAGUACGGGAAUAUCGUAUGAAUUGGGAGAUAUAUACCCG
rnacentral:lncRNA from 1 species